AGGACUAGAAAUUAUGAAUUGGGAAAUUGGAAAAGAAAAAUUGAUCUUAAAAGAACAUGUAAGAGAAAAACUCCUCAUCUUUUUUAUUCUAAACUUGAGUGUCCUAGAAUUGAGCUUACAUGUAUGAUUCUCUCCAUCGAAAGAGUCAUUGCUCCAUUCCAUAGCUCAUCAGUGAAAUUCAAUGGAUUGAUAAGAGUGAUGGAUAACCUUUUGGAAGAGUUUUCAUUAUGAGUUUUUUACUUCAAAAAAAUACUCAUUUGUUACAGUUUUUAUUGUAAGUCCUUCUUCUGAUAGUAAAAACUAUUGAUUAAGGUUUUUAUUAAAAGUUUUUUUUUGUCUAAAAAACUCACGAAUUAGAGUUUUUGUUGUACAAAUUUUAAUUGAAAAAACUCAUUAUUCGGUGAAAUAGGCACCAUGGUCAACUAGCUUAUGUAAGCUCUACUAGAAAUAGUGAAAAGUCUCAAGCAAAAAACUUGAGGAGAGGAUGCAGCUAGGUAGUAAGAUAUUUAUAAAUCUCGUUUUCACUCUCUUUCUCAACUCUUUUUUAUUUAUUUCUUACUUUUAAUUUUAUUUUGAAAUUCAAUUUGAUUAGUUUUGCUAUUACAUUUUAUUUGAAGAUUCAAAUUAAUUCUUGGAAAAAGAAAAAUAGUCAAAGUUUUGAAAAUCCAAUUUAACCAUCCUAUUGUGUUCUUAUAGACCUUUAUAGGGUAACAAUUGGUAUUAGAUCAAAUUUUUUAAUAACUAAAGCUAUUCUUUCUCUCUUAACCAACAAGACCUAACUUACUUUUCAGUAAUUCGCUUCAAACAUUUUC
rnacentral:lncRNA from 1 species